AGCGAACGCUGGCGGCAGGCCUAAUACAUGCAAGUCGAACGAACAGAUCGGGGUUAGUGGCGGCCGGGGGUGUAACCCGAGGGAACGUGCCCUUAGGUUCGGCCUAACUCAGGGACACUUGUGAUAAUGCCGAACGUGCGCUUAGGGGGAAAGAUCUAUCGAAGUUAGUGCGUCACGCGUCUGAUUAGCUAGUUGGUUGAGGUAUGGGUACACCAGGGCGGCGAUCAGUAGUUGGUCUGUGAGGCUGAUCACACACACUGGGACUGUGACCCAGCCCAAACUCCUACGGGAUGCAGCAGUGCGUAACCGUGCGCAAUGGGCUAAGGCAUGACGGUGCCAUGCUGGGUGAAUGAUGUAAGUCUUAGGAUAGUAAAAUGCUUUCACCGGUGACGAUAUUGACGGUACCCGGAGAAGAAGCCCCGGCUAACUUCGUG
rnacentral:rRNA from 1 species